rnacentral:rRNA from 1 species
AUUGAACGCUGGCGGCAGGCCUAACACAUGCAAGUCGAGCGAGCGGCGGACGGGUGAGUAAUGUCUGGGAACCUGCCUGCUGGAGGGGGAUAACUACUGGAAACGGUAGCUAAUACCGCAUACCAUCAGAUGUGCCCAGCUGGGAUGAGCUCGUAGGUGGGGUAAUGGCUCACCUAGGCGACGAUCCCUAGCUGGUCUGGGAGGAUGACAAGCGACAUUGGAACUGAGACACGGUCAAGACGCCUACGGUAGGCAGCAGUGGGGAAGAGUGCACAAGGGGGGCAAGCAUGAUGCAGCCAUGCCGCGGUUGGGAAGAAGGCGUUCGGUGUGUAAAGCAGUUUCAGGGGGGAGGCGGUACCCGCAGAAGAAGCACCGGCUAACUCCGUGCCAGCAGCCGCGGUAAUAC